GUCCACGCCGUAAACGAUGAUGACUAGCUGUCGGGGCUCAUGGAGCUUCGGUGGCGCAGCUAACGCGUUAAGUCAUCCGCCUGGGGAGUACGGCCGCAAGGUUAAACUCAAAGAAAUUGACGGGGGCCUGCACAAGCGGUGGAGCAUGUGGUUUAAUUCGAAGCAACGCGCAGAACCUUACCAGCGUUUUGACAUGGUAGGACGGUUUCCAGAGAUGGAUUCCUUCCCUUACGGGACCUACACACAGGUGCUGCAUGGCUGUCGU
rnacentral:rRNA from 1 species